UACGUAGGUGGCAAGCGUUGUCCGGAUUUACUGGGCGUAAAGGGCGUGCAGGCGGUCUGUUAAGUCUAGGGUGAAAGCUCCCGGCUCAACUGGGAGAGGUCCUUGGAUACUGGCGGACUUGAGGGAGGCAGAGGAAAGUGGAAUUCCCGGUGUAGUGGUGAUAUGCAUAGAUAUCGGGAGGAACACCAGUGGCGAAGGCGACUUCCUGGCCUGUUCUUGACGCUGAGGCGCGAAAGCUAGGGGAGCAAACGGG
rnacentral:rRNA from 1 species